CCAGGAGUUUAGGGCUGCAGUGAGCAGUGAUCACACCACUGCACUCCAGCCUGGGUGACAGAGUGAGACCCUGUCUCUUUAAAAAUAAAUAAAUAAAUAAAAAUCAGACACCAGGGAGAUCCCAUGUUGCUUGUUUUUGUCCCUAGGCUUCCAUCAUCUGGCCUGUACCACCCUCCUCCACAGCACAUCCAGAAAACUUUAUUCGGCCAUAAUCCUACCACCCCCAAAGUUUGGAAACCUAGGUUAAAAGACAGCUGCUUCCAGGACAGGAAUUCAAAUUGGUGAUUAUCAAUUUCAGAAAGGUGACGCAAACCCUGAGACCAAAACCAGUGUCUCACAAGAACUGCUAUUGAAAGAACAGAGGCAGUCUGAAUUUUUUAUUACCGAGCAAACCUGUGAUUUACACCCUUUUGAGUUAAGACUGACCAGUUAUUUUUUCUUUCUAAGUAAAACGCUCCUGUCUAUGGACUCAGGUAUGGUGCUUCAGCCCCACAUGGAAUUAAAUUCAGCCUUCUGGCAGAAUAAUUGGACUGAAUGAGUCAGACAGAAGUCUCCAGAAAGUGCAUAGCAUGAACAUGGCACCUCCACUGAAGACUUGGUUGGAGUAAUUAGGAAUCUACAAAAGAUUUGCUACAAGGAGGUUCACCACAGUGCUUAUUGAAAUAGCAAAAUUCUGAACAACCUAUAAGGCUAACAAUGACUGUUGGCCAAAUAAAACACAAGAUGGC
rnacentral:lncRNA from 1 species